rnacentral:rRNA from 1 species
CACGCCGUAAACGAUGGGUACUAGGUGUAGGAGGUAUCGACCCCUUCUGUGCCGUAGCAAACGCAUUAAGUACCCCGCCUGGGGAGUACGGCCGCAAGGCUGAAACUCAAAGGAAUUGACGGGGGCCCGCACAAGCGGUGGAGCAUGUGGUUUAAUUCGACGCAACGCGAAGAACCUUACCAGGUCUUGACAUCCCUUGACCGCCCUAGAGAUAGGGUUUUCCCGUUUGGGACAAGGAGACAGGUGG